GAUGAACGCUGGCGGCGUGCCUAAUACAUGCAAGUCGAGCGAACGGACGAGAAGCUUGCUUCUCUGAUGUUAGCGGCGGACGGGUGAGUAACACGUGGAUAACCUACCUAUAAGACUGGGAUAACUUCGGGAAACCGGAGCUAAUACCGGAUAAUAUUUUGAACCGCAUGGUUCAAAAGUGAAAGACGGUCUUGCUGUCACUUAUAGAUGGAUCCGCGCUGCAUUAGCUAGUUGGUAAGGUAACGGCUUACCAAGGCAACGAUGCAUAGCCGACCUGAGAGGGUGAUCGGCCACACUGGAACUGAGACACGGUCCAGACUCCUACGGGAGGCAGCAGUAGGGAAUCUUCCGCAAUGGGCGAAAGCCUGACGGAGCAACGCCGCGUGAGUGACGAAGGUCUUCGGAUCGUAAAACUCUGUUAUUAGGGAAGAACAUAUGUGUAAGUAACUGUGCACAUCUUGACGGUACCUAGUCAGAAAGCCACGGCUAACUACGUG
rnacentral:rRNA from 1 species